rnacentral:rRNA from 1 species
GCUAGUAGCGUCGUAGUGGCGGUAGGGUGAGUAACGCGUAGAAAUCUACCUGAUAGUGGGGGAUAGCCCAAAGAAAUUCGGAUUAAUACCGCAUAAUCUAUUCGUAGUAAAGUGGGGGACUUUCGAGCCUCACGCUAUCAGAUGAGCCUGCGUAAGAUUAGCUAGUUGGUAGGGUAAAAGCCUACCAAGGCGACGAUCCUUAGCCGGUCUGAGAGGAUGAUCAGCCACAUCGGGACUGAGACACGGCCCGAACUCCUACGGGAGGCAGCAGUGGGGAAUAUUGAACAAUGGGGGCAACCCUGAUCCAGCAAUACCGCGUGUGUGAAGAAGGCCUGAGGGUUGUAAAGCACUUUCAAUUGUGAAGAAAAGCUAGUGGUUAAUAGCCAUUAGCCUUGACGUUAACUUUAGAAGAAGCACCGGCUAACUCCGUGCCAGCAGCCGCGGUAAUACGGAGGGUGCAAGCGUUAAUCGGAAUUACUGGGCGUAAAGCGUGCGUAGGCGGUUUAUUAAGUCAGAUGUGAAAGCCCCGGGCUUAACCUGGGAACUGCAUUUGAAACUGGUCAACUAGAGUUAUGGUAGAGGAAAGUGGAAUUUCUGGUGUAGCGGUGAAAUGCGUAGAUAUCAGAAGGAACAUCAAUGGCGAAGGCAACUUUCUGGACCAAUACUGACGCUGAGGUACGAAAGCGUGGGUAGCAAACAGGAUUAGAUACCCUGGUAGUCCACGCCGUAAACGAUGAUAACUAGCCGUUGGGGGGAUUUACCCUUAGUGGCGAAGCUAACGCGUUAAGUU